rnacentral:rRNA from 1 species
CGCGGCCUAUCAGCUUGUUGGCGGGGUAAUGGCCCACCAAGGCAGUGACGGGUAGCUGGUCUGAGAGGAUGGCCAGCCACAUUGGGACUGAGAGACGGCCCAGACUCCUACGGGAGGCAGCAGUGGGGAAUCUUGCGCAAUGGCCGAAAGGCUGACGCAGCGACGCCGCGUGUGGGAGGACGCCCUUCGGGGUGUAAACCACUGUUGCCCGGGACGAAACCGGCUUUGAGCCGAUUGACGGUACCGGGUGAGGAAGCACCGGCUAACUCCGUGCCAGCAGCCGCGGUAAUACGGAGGGUGCGAGCGUUGUCCGGAAUCACUGGGCGUAAAGGGCGCGUAGGCGGCUCGAUAAGGCUGUGGUGAAAGUCCGGGGCUCAACCCCGGAUCGGCCGUGGCGACUGUUGGGCUGGAGCACUGUAGAGGCGGGUGGAAUUCCGGGUGUAGCGGUGGAAUGCGUAGAGAUCCGGAAGAACACCGGUGGCGAAGGCGGCCCGCUGGGCAGUAGCUGACGCUGAGGCGCGACAGCGUGGGGAGCAAACAGGAUUAGAUACCCUGGUAGUCCACGCCGUAAACGAUGGGCACUAGGUGCUUGGGGGAGCGACCCUCCGAGUGCCGGCGCUAACGCAUUAAGUGCCCCGCCUGGGGAGUACGG